AGUAAAAUGCCUGAUUAAUAGGGCUAUUUUGAUAGAAUAGAUAAUGUACUAAAAUUACUUUUACUU
rnacentral:tRNA from 1 species